ACGGAAGGCAGCAGUGGGGGAUAUUGCACAAUGGGGGAAACCCUGAUGCAGCGACGCCGCGUGAGUGAUGAAGUAUUUCGGUAUGUAAAGCUCUAUCAGCAGGAAAGAUAAUGACGGUACCUGACUAAGAAGCACCGGCUAAAUACGUGCCAGCAGCCGCGGUAAUACGUAUGGUGCAAGCGUUAUCCGGAUUUACUGGGUGUAAAGGGAGCGUAGGCGGUUUGGCAAGUCUGAUGUGAAAACCCGGGGCUUAACCUCGGGAUUGCAUUGGAAACUGUCGGACCUGAGUGUCGGAGAGGAAAGCGGAAUUCCUAGUGUAGCGGUGAAAUGCGUAGAUAUUAGGAGGAACACCAGUGGCGAAGGCGGCUUUCUGGACGAUAACUGACGCUGAGGCUCGAAAGCGUGGGGAGCAAACAGGAUUAGAUACCCUGGUA
rnacentral:rRNA from 1 species